AUUGAACGCUGGCGGCAUGCCUUACACAUGCAAGUCGAACGGCAGCGCGGGAGCAAUCCUGGCGGCGAGUGGCGAACGGGUGAGUAAUACAUCGGAACGUGCCCAAUCGUGGGGGAUAACGCAGCGAAAGCUGUGCUAAUACCGCAUACGAUCUACGGAUGAAAGCAGGGGAUCGCAAGACCUUGCGCGAAUGGAGCGGCCGAUGGCAGAUUAGGUAGUUGGUGAGGUAAAGGCUCACCAAGCCUUCGAUCUGUAGCUGGUCUGAGAGGACGACCAGCCACACUGGGACUGAGACACGGCCCAGACUCCUACGGGAGGCAGCAGUGGGGAAUUUUGGUACAAUGGGCGAAAGCCUGAUCCAGCCAUGCCGCGUGCAGGAUGAAGG
rnacentral:rRNA from 1 species